UCAGUCUAGAGCUGAAAUGAUUCAUCGAUUAGUCGACUAGCAGAAAAUUAACUGUCAACUAUGUUCAUAGUUGAUAAAUCGCAAACAGGACAAACAUGAUCUGGUUCCAGCUUCUCAAAAACAAAUCUGAAGGCAUCACAUUGGACUUUAGAUCCACUGAGGCAACAAGCAUGAAACAGACAGAGAGACUGCGAGCGUAUUCAAGGAUGUCAUGGGUGCAUUCAAGUGUAACUGGGGUCAGAUCCAUCAGAGAGUAAAAUGCAGGGAAACAGAUUGAGACAAUUAGCUUGAGCAAAGAUGAAAAGAGAGUGAGGAGAGAAAAACAUGGCUGCAGCUCAGGUGAUAGACAGAGACGCCAGCACAGUGAGAGAUCUAUCAGAGACAGCAGGAGGUGAGGAGGUUGUUUGCUGGUUUCCAGGUUAUAGGAAAACACAAAGACCUGAGGGAGGACAGCCAUAAUAACUAGUGCCGGGUUUUAUGGAAAUAAUGGGGCUGAGGAAUUAUACCAACAGUCGUGCUGGUGAAAAGAUAGAUGACUAAGAAAGGUGAAGGUGUAAGAAGAGAUUUAAAAUUAAAAUUUUAAAUUUUAAAAUUCAAAAUGA